rnacentral:rRNA from 1 species
AACGAACGCUGGCGGCAUGCCUAACACAUGCAAGUCGAACGAGACCUUCGGGUCUGGUGGCGCACGGGUGCGUAACGCGUGGGAACCUGCCCUUAGGUUCGGAAUAACUCCCCGAAAGGGGUGCUAAUACCGGAUAAUGUCUUCGGACCAAAGAUUUAUCGCCUUUGGAUGGGCCCGCGUUGGAUUAGCUAGUUGGUAGGGUAAAAGCCUACCAAGGCGACGAUCCAUAGCUGGUCUGAGAGGAUGAUCAGCCACACUGGGACUGAGACACGGCCCAGACUCCUACGGGAGGCAGCAGUGGGGAAUAUUGGACAAUGGGCGAAAGCCUGAUCCAGCAAUGCCGCGUGAGUGAUGAAGGCCUUAGGGUUGUAAAGCUCUUUUACCCGGGAUGAUAAUGACAGUAACGGGAGAAUAAGCUCCGGCUAACUCCGUG